UAUUAUUAUUUUGUAUCUGCAGCAGAAGAUGCCAAGCAGAAACCUGAUGAUGCCAAGCCUGCAGAUGACAAAGAAGAAAAAAAACCACUCAAGGAAAAACUCAAAGAUUUUUUUCAAAGUACCAUGGGUAUAUAUAUAGCCAUAGUGAUGACCGUCAUCUUUAUCGCCUCGGCAAUAAUAUGCAUCUAUAUCUGUGUUCUGCAAUGGAACAAAACAGCUGACCUACGAAAUGCAAUGUAUCUCGUUAGGAAGUUUAUGAUUUCCAAAGAUACAAGCUAUGAACAGAAGGGUGCUCAACCUGGAGAGCGCCCAAAGAAAAAGUUGUGUUACAGGGGACCAAGAGUCAACAGCAGAAGGACCAUGGUCAGGUCUGCUUUUUUCAUCUUAGGCAAAUCACACAACUUCACCCCACCUCAACAGGAAGUCCAUAACAACUCUGGGUCAUGCACUGGUAAUCCUGAGGAUAGAUUACUGCGAUGCUCUCUACAUGAGGCUACCCUUGAAGGGGAUGCAGAAGCUGCAGGAAGUGCAAAAGCAGCAUCCAGGAUGGUGGCUGGAACAUCAAGAUACGAUCGUAUACCACCUGCCCUGGUGUUUCCACUGGCUCUUGGUAUGCCCCCAGGCCAUAUUCAAGGUGCUUAUGGUGACCUUUAAAGCCAUAAAUGGUUUAGGAGGACCUUGAUACUUGUCCGAGCGGCUCUCCCUCAGAAUGACCACCCAUCCCACCUUCACCUCAUAUACUGGGAUAUCACAGGUGGCCAUCCCAAGGGAGGCAUGGAAAUGGGUGGCUUCUCUCUGGUGGCUGCAUAGUUACGGAAUUUGCUCCCAAUAGAGGCUUCCCUCUUCCUCCCCGGCUUCAGAAAACAAAUCAUGGCUCCUUACACAGGCCUCCCAUAGCCUUACCCCGAACUAAAGCCCCUUUUAAUUCUGUGUGUUUGUAUGUGUGUGUGUAUAUAUAGAGAGAGUGGUCUUAACCGACCAGAUAGGCGGGAUAUAAAUAAAAUAAAUAAAAAUUAAAAAAUAUACUGUGUA
rnacentral:lncRNA from 1 species